GACGAACGCUGGCGGCGUGCUUAACACAUGCAAGUCGAACGGAAAGGCCCCUUUGGGGGUACUCGAGUGGCGCACGGGUGAGUAACACGUGAGUAACCUGCCCUUGACUUCGGGAUAACUUCAGGAAACUGGGGCUAAUACCGGAUAGGAAUCCUUGCUGCAUGGUGGGGGUUGGAAAGCUUCGGCGGUUUUGGAUGGACUCGCGGCUUAUCAGCUUGUUGGUGGGGUAGUGGCUUACCAAGGCUUUGACGGGUAGCCGGCCUGAGAGGGCGACCGGCCACAUUGGGACUGAGAUACGGCCCAGACUCCUACGGGAGGCAGCAGUGGGGAAUAUUGCACAAUGGGCGGAAGCCUGAUGCAGCAACGCCGCGGGCGGGAGGACGGCCUUCGGGUUGUAAACCGCUUUCAGCAGGGGCGAAGCUUGUGGUGACGGUACCUGCAGAAGAAGCACCGGCUAACUACGUG
rnacentral:rRNA from 1 species